rnacentral:rRNA from 1 species
AACGAACGCUGGCGGCAGGCUUAACACAUGCAAGUCGAGCGCCCCGCAAGGGGAGCGGCAGACGGGUGAGUAACGCGUGGGAAUCUACCCAUCUCUACGGAAUAACGCAUGGAAACGUGUGCUAAUCCCGUAUACGUCCUUCGGGAGAAAGAUUUAUCGGAGAUGGAUGAGCCCGCGUUGAAUUAGCUAGUUGGUGGGGUAAAGGCCUACCAAGGCGACGAUCCAUAGCUGGUCUGAGAGGAUGAUCAGCCACACUGGGACUGAGAUACGGCCCAGACGCCUACGGGGGGCAGCAGUGGGGAAUGUUGGACAAAGGGCGCAAGCCUGAUCCAGCCAUGCCGCGUGAGUGAUGAAGGCCCUAGGGUUGUAAAGCUCUUUCACCGGUGAAGAUAAUGACGGUAACCGGAGAAGAAGCCCCGGCUAACUUCGUGCCAGCCGCCGCCGUAACAC